UACGAAGGGUGCAAGCGUUACUCGGAAUUACUGGGCGUAAAGCGUGCGUAGGUGGUGAGUUAAGUCUGUCGUGAAAGCCCCGGGCUCAACCUGGGAAUGGCGAUGGAUACUGGCUCGCUAGAGUGCGGUAGAGGGUGGUGGAAUUCCCGGUGUAGCAGUGAAAUGCGUAGAGAUCGGGAGGAACAUCAGCUGCGAAGGCGGCCACCUGGACCAGCACUGACACUGAGGCACGAAAGCGUGGGGAGCAAACAGG
rnacentral:rRNA from 1 species